rnacentral:lncRNA from 1 species
GUAUGUUUUAAUAUUGCUAGAGAUACACAUAAUAAAGAGCUCAUUGGGACAGUCAGGAUUUUUACAUGAUACUUUGUACACAGACGUCAGAACCCUUUUACAGUUUUUUCCAUAGUUUCACAUAAGAAACAAUAAACUGUAUUUCUUUUAUUUUUCAGCUUCACUGCUCUCAGCACCUUGAAUUACUCUUCCUGGUUGAUUUUUCCUUCUCCUUUCCACUCAUCCUUCAUUAUAGUCCUCUGUGCAAUAUUAGAAUGUUGAUUUGGAAUUUCAAAGCUUGAAAAACAAAAUUGGUUUUCAUAGAAGAAUUAGAGGUAAUAUUUUGUAUAUAAGCUCAUCUUCCAUCAUCCAUAUAUAGCUUAUUAUCUAGUAGAUGGGAGUUUAUUUGCUUAAAAUUAAUCCAUAACUUUUAAUGUUUCUUGCAGACCUAGAAACUUGUGUUCUGCCUCAAAAUAGAUUUCUGUAUGUCUGCUGUGGUGAAGCCUUUUAAACAAUGCAAUUAAGUCAUCAAAUAAAGUGAUUC